GGUAAUUUCAUCUAAAGCUAAAUAUCUGUCAGAGACCGAUAGCGCCAAGUAGAGUGAUCGAAAGAUGAAAAGCCUUUAAAAAGAGAGUCAACCAGUACGUGAAAUUGUGAAAGGGAAGCGCUUGCAACGAGACUCGUUCGCGGGUGUUCAGCCGUCCCUCGGGCGGUGCACUCUCCCGCGUUUCGGGCCAGCAUCGGUUUCGGCGGCCGGACAAAGGCCCCGGGAACGUAGCUCUCUUCGGAGAGUGUUAUAGCCCGGGGUGCAAUGCGGCCAGCCGGGACCGAGGAUCGCGCGUUCGCUAGGAUGCUGGCGUAAUCGUUGCCAGCGACCCGUCUUGAAACACGGACCAAGGAGUCGACCAAUCUGGCAAGUUUUAGGGCGUAAACCCCUGAAGCGCAAUGAAAGUGAACGUAGGUGGGAGCCUUCGGGUGCACCAUCGACCGAUCCUGAUGUCUUCGGAUGGAUUUGAGUAUGAGCCCGGCUGGUCGGACCCGGUACGUUUGCAAUAACCCCGCCAUGUGGAAAUAUCUACUAACUAAACUAUAGAAAGAUGGUGAACUAUGCGUGAAUAGGGUGAAGCCAGAGGAAACUCUGGUGGAGGCUCGCAGCGGUUCUGACGUGCAAAUCGAUCGUCAAAUUUGCGCAUAGGGGCGAAAGACUAAUCGAACUAUCUAGUAGCUGGUUCCCGUCGAAGUUUCCCUCAGGAUAGCAGCAACGAAAACAGUCUCAUGAGGUAGAGCAAACGAUUAGAGGUCUUGGGGUUGUAUUCGACCUUAACCUAUUCUCGAACUUCGAAUAUGUGAGAAGUCCUUGUUACUUAGUUGAACGUGGACAUUUGGAUGUGUCGUUGCUAGGGGCC
rnacentral:rRNA from 1 species